GAGCAGUGAUGAUUUUAGAUGCGACUGACUUGGAAUUGCCGGCUUCACGUCAGGCUCUGUCCUUGAAAUGACGUCUGUUAAUCUUCUCUCUGAGCUG
rnacentral:snoRNA from 1 species